UUUUUUUUAUUUUUUUUAUUUUUUAUUUUUUUGGAUAAAGAAAGGGACAUAUUUGAAAGAAUGAUGCAUGCCUUGCCAUUAUGCAAGUUAUUGAAAGCUAAAAAUGCCCUGGUCAAGGCAAACAAAAUUUAGAGUCAAAGGACAAAUCAAAAUGCAAGACAGUUACCUACCAAUGUCAAGGCAAGCUAAAGCCAAUUUAACAACACAGCAAUCGACAAGAGGAUUAUUCUUUGCAGUACUCAAGAACAUAACAAGCAUUCUUUUUAUUAUUAUUCAGAUACCAUGGUACUUGUGAAAUUACUUAUGCAUAAAAAUAAUUCAGCAGAAAAUAGAAGUAGAUGGGGAUAGAAAAUGUGGACAAACUCAAUGGGUGCAAGGAAUUUCAGUGAAACCAGGUAACCAGCAUGGUUUCAAGAACACAGUUUAAUUGAAAGGAUUAGUUACCUGUAACAGGCAAGUAGGAAUUUGGAUGAACCCCUGUAAAAGAAGAUCAACCUUUUCCAGAAUGUUUGGUGGAACAGGUGUGAUCAUGUAGAGCAAACCUUUGGAAGUGUCAAUUCCUCUCACAAUUCCAAGGCCAACACACCAAGGUAAAUCUGCCAACUGUUCAGAACCAACUGCCAAACCAACAAUGCUUGCAUUCAAACUGUAGAAGAUUUCAGUGCUAAGGACCUGGCAAUGGAGAUGUCUGAUCUUGACACUUGAUAUUGGAACUUGGUAAGGAGGGUGAGAGGCUAGAGAAUUUGAAAGUUCCUUGAUUGUUGUGAUAUUCAAACUACUCGAAAAGCACUGCCUGAAAUAAGCCAUUAUUCGCAAAUCUCUCAAAAGGCGUGCAUCCUUUUGCAAUAGCAUCGAUCUGUUAAAGGAGUCUUGACGAGCUGAAUUAAUCUCAAUUAGAUUAACCUCCCCCCAGCAAUCAUCAUCUAGCCAGAAUGCUCCAACUGGUAGAUUCUUUCUCUCAAAAGAUAUGUUUAUUUUAACUACAUGGGUAGGAGCAAUACAUCUCACCAUAUCCACCAGUAUAUCAUAGCCAACACCUUUUACCCAGCCUGGUGUGUUCACAAUAAGAGGCAACUCUUUCUUUGCAGGGCCUUCACUAUUGUUAAACAUUCGGUACUCCUUCCGAUAGUAAUCAUACAGCGUUGAUAUGUAUUGCAGAUAUGUCGCUGGAUCUCUUUUUGAAGAAAUAUCACCAAAGAAAAAGCAUCUAGAGGAAGACAAAAGGACCAAAACAGUGACAAUGUGCAAAUGUCUCAUCAAAGAACCAGGUUCUGGUAUAAAAAUGGCCAUAUUCAAAUAUCAAUAGGUGUAGAGUCUAGAGUCAACUGCAUGGACCAGAACAUAACACAACAAAUAUUCAGUUGCAGCUGUUUUAGUAAAGAUUCAGAAAAUUAGUAGAAAUCAUAGAAAUUCCGAUUAAGAAGAUUUUGAACAACAAAUGAUUCAUCAAUGAGAAUAACAAAUCAAGUAUGAACUUAUACAUCCAAAAUGCAAUGUUCCAAUUCUCCAUACAUCAUUAAAAGGGAAUAAAAUCACAAAGAGUAGUGAUGAGUUCAAUAGCUCAUACCUUUCAGGUGUCUUCAGGCAUGGAAUUGUCAAAUCUGGGGUUAUUUUGUCAACCACAGUGAGGGAUACAAAACCGGGAGUAGUAAACUCAGGCUGCCCAACAUCUGUAUCCAAAUAGCCUACAUUUGUAUAUCUCUGGAGUAGAAUGUUGAGGAGGUGACGAGAGAAAGUGGUUUUGCCACUAUUCUUGGCUCCACAGAUUAAGGCAAUAGGAGGGGAUGAAGUAGUGGAAUCGUAUGCUAUGGUGUCUGCAGCCUUUGACCAUUCCUCUGGUAUGUGUAUGGUCGGUGAUGGGUCUUCCGUCUCUGAUAUAGAAGCCAUAGCAGCCUCUUUUUUCUCUCUCUCUGGACGCUGCGCGGUUGGGGUUUCUGUUGUUUUGUUGGUGUGCAGUGCUAACGGGGCGGUUCG
rnacentral:misc_RNA from 1 species